CAAUAGCGUAUAUUAAAGUUGUUGCGGUUAAAAAGCUCGUAGUUGGAUUUCUGCGAAAGACGACCGUUCGGUUCUACGAACCGGUAUGGCUUGUCCGCCGCAUUCUUUCGGAAUUUCACUUAGCUUUAUUGUUUGGUGAAGUUUUCGAUCUUUUACUUUGAGGAAAUUAGAGUGUUUCAAGCAGGCUUACGCCUUGAAUACAUUAGCAUGGAAUAAUAAGAUAGGACUUUGGUUCUAUUUUGUUGGUUUCUAGAACUAAAGUAAUGAUUAAUAGGGACAGUCGGGGGCAUUCGUACUCAACUGUCAGAGGUGAAAUUCUUGGAUUUGUUGAAGACGAACUACUGCGAAAGCAUUUGCCAAGGAUGUUUUCAUUGA
rnacentral:rRNA from 1 species